CUAAAUCUGGUGGUCGAUGGUCUCUCGAAUCGCAAGAUCGAGAGCUAAGAGGGAAGCCGGUGAGAAACCGGCGCUGCCCCCGCAACUGUCAGCGGUGAGUUCGCGUCCAUGUAAGUCACUGAGGCCGCAAGGCCUUGGGAAGACGGGCACGAGCGAUGAUCCGGGAGCCAGGAGACCUGCCGCGACCCUAGUUCUACGU
rnacentral:ncRNA from 15 species